AUGGUCCCCCACUAUACCACACUGAUAGCUUCUCAAAGAUUAUACAUAUAUGUUACAUGCAAACAGGCACAGUUAGCAUGUCAUCACAGCUUCAAAUACCAGAGUACCUAUAUCCUCAGAAGAUACAUGCAAACAGAUUUGUCAAUGGUACAUCUAUAACGACAACACCCUCUCAACAGAAUCCUCAAGAUAAAGAAAUCUUAUGUGAUGAGAACCUCAAUAAAGAAGAUAGAAAAAGAU